GAUGAACGCUGGCGGCGUGCCUAAUACAUGCAAGUCGAGCGAAUCGGGGACGGGUGAGUAACACGUGGAUAACCUCCUAUAAGACUGGGAUAACUUCGGGAAACCUGAGCUAAAACGGAUACUUAUAGCUGGCUCCGCGAGGCAUUAGCUAGUUGGUAAGGUAACGGCUUACCAAGGCAACGAUGCAUGACCGACCUGAGAGGGGGAGCUGCCCAACUGGAACGGAGACACGGUCCAGACUCCUACGGGAGGCAGCAGUAGGGAAUCUUCCGCAAUGGGCGAAAGCCUGACGGAGCAACGCCGCGUGAGUGAUGAAGGUCUUCGGAUCGUAAAACUCUGUUAUUAGGGAAGCGGUACCUAAUCAGAAAGCCACGGCUAACUACGUGCCAGCAGCCGCGGUAAUAC
rnacentral:rRNA from 1 species